UACGGGGGGAGCAAGCGUUGUUCGGAUUUACUGGGCGUAAAGGGCGCGUAGGCGGCGCAACAAGUCACUUGUGAAAUCUCCGGGCUUAACCCGGAGCGGUCAAGUGAUACUGUCGUGCUAGAGUGCGGAAGGGGCUACUGGAAUUCCUGGUGUAGCGGUGAAAUGCGCAGAUAUCAGGAGGAACACCGGUGGCGAAGGCGGGUCUCUGGGCCGUAACUGACGCUGAGGAGCGAAAGCGUGGGGAGCGGACAGG
rnacentral:rRNA from 1 species